UACCAGCACCCCCGAGUGGUCGGGACGUUUUAUUGGGCCUAAAGCAUCCGUAGCCGGUUCUACGAGUCUUCCGUUAAAUCCAACUGCUUAACAGGUGGGCUGCGGAAGAUACUAUAGAGCUAGGAGGCGGGAGAGGCAAGCGGUACUCGAUGGGUAGGGGUAAAAUCCGUUGAUCCAUUGAAGACCACCAGUGGCGAAGGCGGCUUGCCAGAACGCGCUCGACGGUGAGGGAUGAAAGCUGGGGGAGCAAACCGG
rnacentral:rRNA from 1 species